rnacentral:rRNA from 1 species
AACGAACGCUGGCGGCAUGCCUAACACAUGCAAGUCGAACGAAGCCUUCGGGCUUAGUGGCGCACGGGUGCGUAACGCGUGGGAAUCUGCCCCUUGCUUCGGAAUAACAGUUAGAAAUGACUGCUAAUACCGGAUGAUGUCUUCGGACCAAAGAUUUAUCGGCAAGGGAUGAGCCCGCGUAGGAUUAGGUAGUUGGUGGGGUAAAGGCCUACCAAGCCGACGAUCCUUGGCUGGUCUGAGAGGAUGAUCAGCCACACUGGGACUGAGACACGGCCCAGACUCCUACGGGAGGCAGCAGUGGGGAAUAUUGGACAAUGGGGGGAACCCUGAUCCAGCAAUGCCGCGUGAGUGAUGAAGGCCUUAGGGUUGUAAAGCUCUUUUACCAGGGAUGAUAAUGACAGUACCUGGAGAAUAAGCUCCGGCUAACUCCGUGCCAGCCGCCGCCGUAACAC